CUCAUUGUCUUCUACCUGGGCUAUUGCGAUUGAUCCACGUUUCAAAAAUUCUUCAGUGCCCAAUUGUCUCCAUUGUAGUCUAUUUUCUCCAUUGCCACCAUUGUUGUCUUUCUUAAAACCAAGGCAUUUUAUUCUUCUGUCAUGAAAGCCCUUCCAAGAAUCCGUCUAACAUCUAUGUGAAAUUACUCUUUCUUUACCUCUGAAGGCGAUACAGUGGCCAAGCAAUCACACCUGAGAGACAUCCCCUAAUAAAACUAUAUGCAAACAGGUUUUCCCAAGUGACCUGAGAAUUGUUUCAAACUUGUACUAUGCAUGAACUUUCUGGAUAGAUGGUAGUGGGUUCGUGAGAUUUACAUGAGACAACACUUGGGGAAAAGCUCCCAGCCUGGGAGUCAGAGAGCUGGAUUUUGUCUUUUGAGUGCUGAGAGAUUCCACUGCUCACUGGUAAAGGGAGAAAAUAAUAUUGGCUCUGUCUGCCUUACAAGGCUGUGUGAGAAAUAAAUGAGAUGAAAGAUGAUUAUUUGAAAAUUCCCAAAAGCACAAACGUAAAAUAUUAAUCCAGGGUAGAAAACUUUGUGAGUUUCAAGGUUAAAAAGUUAGUGCUAAUCUAAUUAAAAAGUCAAUAUUGUUGAGAGGAGGAAGUCAAGAUGGCGGAGUAAGCAGACUCUGAACUCACCUCCUCCCCCGGACACAGCCAAUUUACAACUACUCGUGGAAAAAUUACCCCUGAGACAGAACUGAAAACUGGAUAAGAGGAACUCCUGCAACAACGGACAAUCCUAAGUGAGGUGGAAGAGGCAGAGACUCCCUUCUGGAGAGGAAAACGCCACCUUCACAAGCCGCCAGCUUCACGGCCGCCGGGAGCAGCCCACAGGUACACAGCCCUCCCUGGAGGCGCCGGGCCCUGAGCCGGGGAGCGCCCCAGCUGUGGGCAUUUUGUGGACCCAGCACAAUCGAGGUGAGUGGCAUAAUAUGUGACUUUGCCUGCUACUAAAACAUUGGGGAACACCCCCAGAAAACCCGGUUCACAAAGAAACUAAAACCGGCUCUUAAAGGGCCCGUGCACAAACUCACCCGUCUCAGAAAACAUCCUAAAAUCACCAGAAAGAAAGGUGCACAGUGCUGUGGUGAAAGACUCACCUGAUAGGGCCUGAGUGCAUCUUGGUGAGAGGUGAGACCUCUCCAGAGACUGGGACAUUGG